rnacentral:rRNA from 1 species
GAGGGCUUAACUGUCUCCUGUAGCCAAUCAAUGAAUUUGAUCUCACAGUACAAAUGCUGUGAUACAACUAUAAGACGAGAAGACCCUGUGGAGCUUUAAACCUACCACAUUAACUAAUUAACCUUAACUACUAUUAGUAUAACUGUAAGUUUUAAGUUGGGGCGACUAUGGAGUAAAAAUUAACCUCCAUGAAAUACGAUUAAACCUCGUUACAUAAGGCUAACAAGCCUAGUCAAAAUACACGACCCAGUCAAACUGAUUAUCGAACCAAGUUACCCCAGGGAUAACAGCGCCAUCCCCUUAAAGAGUCCACAUCG